rnacentral:rRNA from 1 species
AGUAACGGCGAGUGAACCGGGAAGAGCUCAAAUUUGAAAUCUGGCGUGCUCAGUGCGUCCGAGUUGUAAUCUAUAGAGUCGUUUUCCGUGCCGGACUGUGUCCAAGUCCCUUGGAACAGGGUAUCAAAGAGGGUGAUAAUCCCGUACUUGACACAAUGACCGGUGCUCUGUGAUACGUCUUCUACGAGUCGAGUUGUUUGGGAAUGCAGCUCAAAAUGGGUGGUGAGUUCCAUCUAAAGCUAAAUAUUGGCGAGAGACCGAUAGCGAACAAGUACCGUGAGGGAAAGAUGAAAAGCACUUUGGAAAGAGAGUUAAACAGUACGUGAAAUUGUUAAAAGGGAAACGAUUGAAGUCAGUCGUGACUGAGAGGCUCAGCCGGUUCUGCCGGUGUAUUCCCCUCAGUCGGGUCAACAUCAGUUUUGUUCGGUGGAUAAGGGCAGUUGGAAGGUGGCACCCUCGGGUGUGUUAUAGCCAGCUGUCGCAUACAUCGGAUGAGACUGAGGAAUGCAGCUCGCCUUUAUGGCCGGGGUUCGCCCACGUUCGAGCU